CGCUCGAAUUGAGUAACCUUUUCCUUUUUUGUACUCAGUUAAAAAUGGCGCAUUAAAACUUUAUAAACCUUAUAUAAAGGUAUGUAGUUAUUUGAUAGUUUAAAAUAGUGAUUAAAAAUAGCUAAUAGCUUACAAUGAAAAGAGAACCCCGAAUAUAUCUUACGUAAUGUGAAAAGCAAUGUACGUAUCAAAAUCAGUAAAAUUUCCGUUCUGUACGCGUACUUAUCGCAGCGAUACGACGUCAUAACUUUGUGUUAUUGUUUUUAAUUCUAGCGCCUGUCUGUCUGACAGAUUGAACCAUUUCAAUAGAACAAAGGCAAGUCCCUUUGUUGUCCUUGUGUAAUAGUGUGAGUAAGCGAUGUUAGUACCUGAUUAUUAAUAGUAAAAAUACUCUUUAUUGUACAC